AAAAAUGGCACUCUAGGGAUGCUUGACAGCUAUUUAUUUGAGAGUAAAGUACUUCUCAAGGUACAGUUGACAUAAGACACUGUGACAUACUAUACAGAAAGUGGUACUGGUGGCUAGAAUUUUGGAUGGGAGUGAAAACAACACAUUUGUUACUUUGGCUUCACAGUUUUUAUUUGUUUCAAGAAGAACAAUGUCAUUUACAGGUGAAUUCCAUUGGGUUUACACAUGUUCAUAUGAUGUAGCUGGAACUGAAUUGAGUGCCGUGGAGAGCAAAUGUAGGUUACCUUUGCAGGUUACAUUGGUAGAAUUACUAAGCCUUUUAUUUUAUUAUAUUUUAAGUAAUCAUUGGAAAAAUAUAAAGCGGUUAUCUUCAUAGUUAUACAUUUUUCAAUCAAACUGUGAUUAUUAAAUUUAAAACUUAAACUUUCAAGAGGGCAGAAACCCACUAUGAAGAUAGUUUCAUGCCACCUAAAAAUAAGUAAAAUAAUUCAUCUUAACAGCACAGUGCCAAACCAGGAAUAAGAACUAAAGAGUAUAAU